GAUAGCUCAACGGUAGAGCGGCCGGCUGUUAACCGGCAGGUUGCAGGUUCGAAUCCUGCUC
rnacentral:tRNA from 1 species